GGGCCGUCCAGGAGGGCCAGCUUUCUCAGGGCCUCCCGGAAGUGGCGGUGGGUCCCAGCGCGUCCUCCCGAGCUGACCCCGCCGGCUGCUGGGGCGCUGUGCCCCUGCCCGGAGGAGAGUCCUUGGCAGGGAAUGAGGAGCUACUCUUUCUCCAUCAUGAUACUAAGUGCUUGGGUAACUGUCUUUGCAUGGAUGAGCUACCAGUGUGGAUAGACAAGUAAAAAAGAAGUCAGCGUAUUCUUGUAGAUAUUAAAGUGGAAAUAAAUAUUGCAGUCUACAA